rnacentral:lncRNA from 1 species
GGGUUUUGGGGGAUAUGAUGGGUAGUUUUACUAGAUUAAUGCCUUAUGGUAGUUAUUUGUGAAAGAAUUUGUUGAAAGCAUGCUAUACUUGACAUGUUUGUUGUGAGACAAAUUUACCCAUUCCAUUUUAGGGUUUUAUAGUGAUGUUUUGUGAUGCUUGUGGGCUGAAAUUGUUGGUAGAAAACUGGUAGAGAUGAUGGGGAGAGUUAACCUAGGGUUAAAUGUG